rnacentral:rRNA from 1 species
AUUGAACGCUGGCGGCAUGCUUUACACAUGCAAGUCGAGCGGCAGCGGGGGUGCUUGCACCUGCCGGCGAGCGGCGAACGGGUGAGUAAUGCAUCGGAACGUACCCAUGUGGUGGGGGAU